GAUGAACGCUAGCGAUAGGCCUAACACAUGCAAGUCGAGGGGUAUCACAUGAAGUAGCAAUACGGAUGGUGGCGACCGGCGCACGGGUGAGUAACACGUAUGCAACCUGCCUUCAACAAGGGGAUAACCCGUUGAAAGACGGACUAAUACCCUAUAACACAGGGGUCCCGCAUGGGGAUAUUUGUUAAAGGACAACCGGUUGAAGAUGGGCAUGCGUUCCAUUAGCUAGUUGGCGGGGUAAGGGCCCACCAAGGCAACGAUGGAUAGGGGAACUGAGAGGUUUAUCCCCCACACUGGUACUGAGACACGGACCAGACUCCUACGGGAGGCAGCAGUGGGGAAUAUUGGUCAAUGGACGCAAGUCUGAACCAGCCACGUCGCGUGAAGGAAGACGGCCCUACGGGUUGUAAACUUCUUUUAUACGGGAAUAAAGUGCCCCA
rnacentral:rRNA from 1 species